UUCACAGGCCCUGUUAUCACUGGGACCAGGAAUCCUGAACAAUAAAUGCUUAGUCCCCUCUCAAAACCGAGGAGCAGCCCCCAGAGAGAGGCCAGACACAGGAUGAUGCAUCAUCUGGGACCCAGCCCAGAGCCGGGUCAUUACAUCCUUUGCCUUUCUUCUGGAACAAGAGGAGAAGGAUCUAUACACCCUUCAGAACACGGUCAUGCACCCCAAGCUGCUUUGUCCUCACAUGCUGUAAGAGAGAUGGGGCUACAUAGCCCUGGAUGAGCGCCCCCUUGCCUCCGGUCUCACAGCAAAGCAUCAGCAAAGCAAGAUGAGAAAUGAGCUCCCUGGCUCCUCGCAGGGGUGUAGCAGGGCUGGUGUUGAUGGUGGCAAAGCUGAUUGUCAUGCGGCCCGCCCUGAACCUGCAGCCGGGACCCCAACUCUACCUGGAACCUUCUGGUCCCUCCCCGCACCCAGGAGGAGACUUGGGCAGGCAAAGCCCAGCUGAGAUGGUUCCUGCAGCAAAGAGCCAGUUCUUCUCCAGAAAUCCUGGUGGGACAGAUGGUUUGUCAAGCUGGGGACACAUGUUCGAGCCCCGGUCCGGGAAGAUCCCACAUGCCGCACAGCAACUAAGCCCGUGUGCCACAACUACUGAGCCUGCACUCUAGAGCCCGCGAGCCACAACGACUGAGCCUGUGAGCCGCAACUACUGAAGCCCAUGCACCUAGAGCCUGUGCUCUGCAACAAGAGAAGCCACCGCAAUGAGAAGCCCGCGCAUCUCAACGAAGAGUUGUGGCCCGCUCGCCACAACUAGAGAAAGCCUGCAUGCAGCAACGAAGACCCAAUGCAAGCAAAAAUAAAUAAAUUAAAUAAUUAAUUUUUUAAAAA